rnacentral:lncRNA from 10 species
AAGUGGCCUCUUGAAGGUGGAAACGGCAAAGAAAAGGAUUCUCUCCUGAAGCCCCCAUGAGAAAGCGGCCCUGCCAGCACUGUCAGACUUCUGACCUCCAGAACUGUGAUAAAAGGGAAUAGCUGAUACACAAAUCCAAAUAUGACUUCACGGCCCAGGCCUUUCCUCUUCCUUCACCAUUGUGCCAUGCCACAUCUCGUUUGAAAAUCAAAAGUAAGUUAUUUAUUCUAAAACAGUUCGACACACUAUGUUUCCUAAGGAUGAGAGAAAAUAACUUGAAAAAAAAUUUAAAAAGCUAUUUUUCCUUUCUCUGUGACAAAAUGAAUAAUCAGUGAGUUUACUACAUGUCAAAAUUUUAAGUUUUCUUUUCAUCGGGCAAUACAUAAAACUAAAAAAGCAUUCAAGUAUGGUCAUCAAUAGUACUAAUCCACUAAAAUAUCAAAAUCAGUUUGCUUCAAAAGUGUAUUUUUUACCCCAUGCUAUGAAGUGUUGAUAUCAAAGUACAUCAUAUGUAACCAUUAAAGAGAACAGAGAGCACAAAAAGUAGUGAAGACGGUUAAAAAAUAAAGAAAGUGGAGUAGUUGGCAUAUACACUUGGUAUUACAUGUUCUCUUUUGAAGUUUUUACUCAAAAUAGAAAAUACUAAUGAACCAUUUGGGCUAAAUCAUUUUCAAAUUCCAUAAUAUGGAAACUUAAAGAAAAAGUGGGCUUUGUAAAGGAAACAAUAUACAUGCUAUAAUAUGGAUGAACCUCGAGGAUAUUAUGCCAAGUGAAAUAAAACAGUCGCAAAAAAAGACAAAUACUGUAUGAUUUCACUUAUAUGUUGUAUCUAGAGUAGUCAAAUUCAGAAACAGAAAGUAGAAUGAUGAUACUGAGAGACAGGGGAGGAAGAGGGAAAUGAGUUGUUUAAUGGGUACAGAGUUUCAAUUUUGCAACACAAAAAAAGUUCUGGAAAUUGCGUAAUCAUAUGAGUAUACCUAACACCACUUUGUUAAGAGGUAAAUUUUGUUAUGAGCAUCUUCUCACAAUUAAAAUAACUAAAUGUCAUUUUUUAAAAGGACCCAAUGAUUUGUUAAUGUGACAAUGACACUGCAGGUAUGUUUUAAAAACAAAGUAUUUAGAGAUACAUGUAAGUUGUUAUCUGCAUGUUUAUGGUAUGUAAGGUUCACUGUACUAUUUUACUUUUGUAGAAUGUUUAAAAUUUUCCUCAAUUAAACAGAAUAAAAUAACUUUUAAAAAAGGAAACCAAUAAGGAAAUGAACUUUCCUAACCAAGAGAACCAUCUAGCAUGAAAACAUAUGAUUAUAGUUUAAACAUGUAAAGUGUAACAUUUUA